CAGUCGCCACGGGAACACGGAGGGAGCUAGCGUUGUUCGGAAUUACUGGGCGUAAAGCGCGCGUAGGCGGUUACUCAAGUCAGAGGUGAAAGCCCGGGGCUCAACCCCGGAACUGCCUUUGAAACUAGGUGACUAGAAUCUUGGAGAGGUCAGUGGAAUUCCGAGUGUAGAGGUGAAAUUCGUAGAUAUUCGGAAGAACACCAGUGGCGAAGGCGACUGACUGGACAAGUAUUGACGCUGAGGUGCGAAAGCGUGGGGAGCAAACAGGAUUAGAUACCCCCGUAGUCCCUGUCUCUUAUAC
rnacentral:rRNA from 1 species